GGGGAAUCUUAGACAAUGGGCGCAAGCCUGAUCUAGCCAUGCCGCGUGAGCGAUGAAGGCCUUAGGGUUGUAAAGCUCUUUCAGGGGGGAAGAUAAUGACUGUACCCCCAGAAGAAGCCCCGGCUAACUCCGUGCCAGCAGCCGCGGUAAUACGGAGGGGGCUAGCGUUGUUCGGAAUUACUGGGCGUAAAGCGCACGUAGGCGGACUGGAAAGUCAGAGGUGAAAUCCCAGGGCUCAACCUUGGAACUGCCUUUGAAACUCCCGGUCUUGAGGUCGAGAGAGGUGAGUGGAAUUCCGAGUGUAGAGGUGAAAUUCGUAGAUAUUCGGAGGAACACCAGUGGCGAAGGCGGCUCACUGGCUCGAUACUGACGCUGAGGUGCGAAAGCGUGGGGAGCAAAC
rnacentral:rRNA from 1 species